UACGUAGGGUGCAAGCGUUGUCCGGAAUUAUUGGGCGUAAAGAGCUCGUAGGCGGUCUGUCGCGUCGGCUGUGAAAACCCGGGGCUCAACCCCGGGCCUGCAGUCGAUACGGGCAGGCUAGAGUUCGGUAGGGGAGACUGGAAUUCCUGGUGUAGCGGUGAAAUGCGCAGAUAUCAGGAGGAACACCGGUGGCGAAGGCGGGUCUCUGGGCAGUAACUGACGCUGAGGAGCGAAAGCGUGGGGAGCGAACAGG
rnacentral:rRNA from 1 species